AGAUAGAGUGAGCUUUUACCCUUGCACGUUAUAGUUACUCAUUGUCUCCUAUUCCCAACAUUGUUAAUAUUCUUUUCUUUUCCUUUUGUUUAUCUGUUCUGCCGGAGGGUUAAUAUUUCAUGGAGUUGAAACUUGGAUUAUUGCAUUGAUCUUAUUAGGCAAAAAAAUGCUGCAUUUCCUUUAUUUAGCAUUCAGGAGCAAGAUCUUUGCACCUCUGCCUACUCUUCUCUUUCCUACUCUAUGCACAGCAGAGCCAAACCUAGAACAGCAGCCAAAGCUUCGGAUGGUCUGGAAUGUGGAUUAAGAGCUGUCUGCAUAGCUCAGAACCGGCCCAGAAGGAGGAAGAGAAAUAAUUCCUAAUGUUGUCAAGUCCAACUCUGAAAUGUCCAAAGCACUAUGGAGCCUCUGGAUGGAUGGAAGUGACAAAGUCCCUUCCUCAUUGUGAUUAUUGACAAACAACGUUUGCCUGUUUCAUCACCUUCUGCAGCCUGAAAAAUCAAGGAGAAGCUGGAAUUUGACAGUUAAAAAAUGAAAACAUGUUGAAACCUACCACGGCAUUAUCUGGAGUCCUCACUUCCUAAAAUGCAGCACCCCUGAUGGAACAAGUUGCACUCCAACCUAGCUUCUAUUGGUGCCUAAGCUACUUAUGAACUGUGACCACAUUUGGAAGAUGCAUGUAAUACUUUUUCAGUAGCCUAAAAUCAAAUGGCCCAUUAGGCUGCAUACUGGUGACCUUCAGAAAUAUUCAAUAGAGACGACCUUAGAGAGUGGAGGAAUUUAAUAGUGUGAUGCUUUCCACUAGGCAAAUAGACAUUGAAUAGAAGAAAGAUUUGCUUUAUGGUGGAAGGAAAAUUUAUCUGAUAGGCAAUUUCAGCAAUGUGGAAGCAUAGCCAGGAUUUCUCCAUAGUGACUGGCUCUCCACAAACUUACACAGCUGAUUAAGUUUGCCAUUGAGACCCGCAGACCCAUCCUCUGCUGCAUUCCUUACUUCCAGGAGCUCUGCAUUUCAGUCUACAGGGCACUGUCCUUGGAUACAUAUCUGUCAAAAGCUGCUCUUUUCUCUGAUGUGACUCUUCUAUGAUUCACUCCAGCCAGUUGCUCCCAUCACCUUUCUCCAUCUUUCACUCCAAAUGCAACCAACUGGCCAAGUAUUAUUGUUUUCUAGCUUUAUUCCCCUGUGCUUAGAGAUCAUACUUUUUAGGAUGUUGAUACUUUGAAUUUUGUUGAAAAUUGCUUUAUAUCCCAGCAGCAUAUAAUCAAUUUUGACAAAUGUUCCAUGUGGACUUAAAAAGAAUGUGCAUUCUGCAGCUGCUGGAUACAGUGCUGUGCUAAAAAUCCCCAACUCUAACUAUGGAUUUGUCUAUUUCUCCUUUCAUUUCUGUCAGUGUUUGCUUUAGAUAUUUUGAAGCUAUAUUAUUGGGUACAUAAAAAUUUAGAAUUGUUUUAUGGUCCUGUUGGACUGACUCUUCUGUCAUUAUAAAAUAUUUCUCUUUAUCUCUUAUCUACUUUAUGCAAUAACCAUAUACCGACAUCCUUGGUCUUUUAUUUAAGGUAUGCAUGUUGGAUUAUAUCUUAUAAUCCUCUUACUUUUAAUCUUUCUGUAUCUUUAUACUUAAAGUGUGUUUCUUAUAAGCAAUAGUUUUUAAGUCUAAUUUCACAAUCUUUCUCUUUUAAAUGGAAUAAGUCUACAUAUUCAUAUUUAAUGAUAUAUUUGAGUUUAAAUCUGUUAUUCUACAAUUUAUUUUCUAUUAUUAGCCCACCUCUGUUUGUUUCUUUUUAUCCCUUUCUUGCCUUUUUUUGACCAAUCAAGUAUUUUUAUUGAUCUGUUUUAUCCCUCUAUUGGCUUGUUAGUUAUAUGAUCUUUUACUAUUUUUAAAUGUUACCCUCAAAAUCACAGCAUUUAUUCAUGAUUUAGAAUAUAAUAUACAUUAAUAUUUUACCACUGUUUGUAAAAUUCAAGGUCUUUAGAACACUUUAACUCUAUUUAUUCCCUCUGUAUUCUAUUUUAUAAAGUAGGCCUUUGAAAUUAUUUACACUUCCCUGUUUCUUUAUUGUUGUUACUCAUCUGUUAUGACAUCACAUCCUUUUAUGUGCUUAUAUUUUGCUUUAUCUUUCUGUUAUUUAGCAUACAAUUUAAAGUAAUUUUUUCAAGGAUUUCUGAUGGGAUGUUCUCAAGCCUCUGAAUGUCUCAAAUUGGCCUUCUCUUGCAUUUCCACAUAAAUAACAAGUUCUCUGAAUAUAAAAGAUAGCAUUCACAAACUUGAACCCUUAUUGAUAAUCUGAUUUUGUUUUAAAUCAUGAGACUUAAAGGAGUAUUUUUUAAAUGGUAAUUCAAAUAUUUUCCAGUUUUUGUCUCGAGGGUCUUUUCUCAUUGGUUUUACCUGUUACAGUUCUCUAUUUAUUUAUUUGUCUAUGCCUUUAAGUGCCAAGCCCUAUGCCAAGGAUAUAACAAUGAAAGAUAUAAUCACUGCUUUCAAGUAUGCUCGGGGUUUAGAUAAAUAAAAUACUCAUUAAAAUUUAAUAGGUUAAGGACCAUAAUGUGGGAAAGAUAAGGCAGCAUGGGCUCACGGAAGAAGAACACAAAGUCCAGAUGAGAGUCUCAGGUAAGGCCUCCUGGAAGAAGAUGCAGGAUCUUCUACACCACAAUAAUUUCUGGACAGUAUUAUUAUUAUUAUUACUUUAAAUCUAGCCUCUGCCUCUCUGAAAACAGCCAUGAUCAUAAUUGUAAUAAACAUAUCUUUGUGCCCAUGGCUGGGACUCCCUCCUAGUUGGCCUGAGAAAGCCUAUUUAUCUUCUCAACCAGUUAGUCCAGGAGAAAGUUACAACUGCAGGAGGAAUUGUAAUUUAAUAUUAUUCGUGGUAACUAAUGGCUGGAAGAUUGCUCAUUGGUCUCAGUACAGCCAGUUGACUGAGUUAGGGCUUUUGAGGAAUUGGUGUUGGGAAAUUCUAACGCAGAACCCAUAGUUGGCCUCUUCAAGCACAGUGUGAUAAACGACUUGAAUGACAUUUUCAAAUACUCUUGGAGGCAGCCAAGCAUGACAUCUUAGCUUGAACAUUUUUCACCUUCCUCUCCCAGCAAUGCUUGUUUACAAAGAUUGAUGAGGCUAAAACAAAUAAUAAAAAUUAUUAUUUGUCUUAAUUUAGUUUUUCCCAGAAGAAGACCUUGAGACAAGGUUUCAAGUGCAAGUUGUGAAUUUGGAAGGUGCAGAGAACACCAGCAUUGAAGUGAGGCAGUGAGACAGGGAUGGGAAGGGAGCCAGUAAAGGGUUCAUUCUUAGGACAGCUACUACAAAGGGCAACCAGAGCUUCAUCUCUAGUGGAGACCUCUGAUUGCAAGUGUAGAGCACAUGCCUUAGAGUUUUCUCACCCAAGAAGCAGAAGAUCUAGGAUAGCUGUACAGUAGUUCUGGGCAGACCAUGGUUGAGGUCUGCUCCCAGAAGAGUUGAUACCAGCCCUUGCAGCUGCCCUACGAUGAGUGUGGGUAGAGUGGCCUUCAGGGAAUUUAGAGAGAACCCUCACACAGAAUAGAGAUACUGGCAGUCAAGAGUGGGAAGGGGCUCUGUGAAGUAGUAAGGCCUAAGUGCUAUGGACAGGGCCAGUGUCUGCUCCUGGUUCUUCAUGCUGUUUGUCCAAUGCACACCAAUCCCCGUAAAAUAACUUCUGGGAUUUAAAAAAAAAUCCCACUUUCUGGAUCCUUGAAGCAAAACAAACAAACAAAACAUGUUUGAAAAGCUCAAGCUAAAUCAUCUCUUCCCUCCUCCUGGAACAUCCAGCAACUCAGGGCAAUCCAACAUGGUCCCCAGGGCCAUCUUUUCUUACCUAGCCUGCCUCUCCUGGGGAUAAUUAACUUCACUGCCUUUGGCAUAGCCCAUUUUUCAACCAAACAGUUUGAGGGGGAAAAAAUUUAUUAUUUCAUGGAGCAAACAGUUACUGAGCAGCUCCUCUGUUCUCCCAGCAGGGCCGUUAAACACAGUAGUUAUAGUACUUUGUGUUUUUUUGCCAUUCACAAGCAGCUUCCUCCCUCCUGCAAAUUCCCAUCACAACAAAUCUGUGGUCAUGCACAGCCACUCCACUACUCUUAGGCCUAAGCCUAACUAUGGGUUCUACCCUUAGAAUUUCCCAACACUAAUUCCUCAAACUUUCAUAUUUGUCAUCAUAAAGUAUAUAAAAAUGAUGACAUGAAUGAUUGAAACAAUAUAAUUAGUAAACUAUAAUUAAUAACUAUUUCAAACUUUGUCUUAUGCAGUUAUUAUUUAUCUUAUAAAGCAUAUUGUAUUUGCGUUGCAAAAUACAGUUUCCUGCUAAUUAGCCACAGGAUAUUAAAAAGUAUUGAAAAAUGUAGUCAGGCAUGAGAAAAAUAAUAACAAAAAUCAUAAGUCAGAAAGAUGAAUAUAUGCAAUCUAUGUUCUCAAAGGAAAGUAUAACAACUGGAAACAACAACAAAAGAUUAAACAAAUUUUAUGAAUACUCUUUUGAAUAAAUUUCUGAUUAAUGAGGAAAUAAAGGGAUUUGAAAACAGCUAAUUGAAAAAUAAUGAGAAUCAGAAUAAUUCACAUUUAAGAUUAUGGAAUAUGCGUAAAGUUGUUCUCAAUAAAUUGUAGUAUUAAAUGCAUGUUACAUUUUUAAAAGUAAAAGCAAGAGAAAAUAAUUUCAACUAAAAAGUGAAGAAAAAAGGAACAAAGGAAGCAGAAAUAAAUAUAUUAAAAUAUAAAAACAAAAAGUAAAAUUAGCAGCAGGAAAACGCACAAUGGCAUGAAUAGAUAGUGAAUCUCAGAGAACGUCUUUGAAAAGAAUCAGUAAAAUGGCCCAGCUGCUGGAAAAUCUAAUUUUAAAAUGCCAUAAUCAAAAUGAAAAAAGGAAAGAAAAAAAUGGCUAGAACUUAUAUAAAAGUUUUUAAAAAUUACAGUAUAAUUAAGUGCUUUUAUUUUGAAAAUCAUUUAAGAUGGAAAUUGUAUUAAGAAAUUUAGAUGACUAGAAUUGACUCAAUUGGAAUCACAUGGUUAAAUCACUUAAGGAAGAAAUUAAGAAAGUUAAAGAAUUAUUCUCUCACCCCAAAGAAGGUGAUUGUAGGCUGAAACAUUAUAAAGCAAUGGCAAUUAAAACUGGUUCUGGGGAUGGAAUAGACAGAUUGGGCCAGCUAGAAUGCUUUGGCAGCAAGAAACAGAAAAAUCUGCUUGAAAUUAAUUGAAACAUUAAGGAAAUAUAUUACCUUAUGUUAUCAGGAAGUCCACAGGUUGGUGGCUCCAAGCAGCACAUAAUCAAUGCCUCGAGGAUGUCACCAAGAAGCCCAGUUCCUACCAGGUCUCCACUUAGCAUCCUGACCGUGCUGGCCCUGGGCAUGGUUGCAAAGUAACUGUGGCAGUUUCAGGCAUCAUAUCCAGACAUGAUAAGAUCUGCAGAAAGGAAGAGUCUGCAUCUUCCUUGGGGUUCCAUUUAAGGGUGAGAGACUUUUGCCCUAUGCCAGCAGAUAUUGCCUCACAUCUCAAUGGCCAGCAACGGGUCACACAUCCAUCCCUAAAAUCUUUGGCAAGGGAGUGCCUUAACCAUGGUUAGAUAAUUAAAGACAUUGGGUAUUGAAUUAUUCAAACCAAUACACAGAUUGUUAGAAUGAAGACUCCAUGUCCGCUCUUGGUGUGUUUCAGGAGUGUUUUAAACUUUUCCUCAUGUAAGUUUACAUGAUUCUUGUGAAGUUUAUAUUUAGAUAUUUAUAUUUUCUGUUGCUAAUAAAAACAAAAGCAUCUAUGCCACUACAUUUUCCAACUCAUUGCUGUUGUUAUAUAUGAAAGCUAUAGAUUCCUACGUAUUAAUUUUUAUAGCCCAUUUAUUUGCUGCAGUCUCUUUUUGUUUGUAAAGAUUUUCAGUCGAUUCUUUUAGAUUUUCCAGGCCAUAUUAUCCACAAAUAGGGAGAAUUUAACCUUCUUUUUCCCAGUGUUUAUAAAUGAAGUAUCAUGCUUUUGUCCAAUAAAAGUGGCAAAUACUUCCAGCACAAUAUUAAAUGGAAAAGGUAAUAAUGAGCAUCCUUACUGUGUUCCUAAUUCUACUGUUUACAAAUUUCUUUUUAAAAAGUGUUUUAAGAAUGGGUCAAAUGCCUUUUCAGCAUCAAUAUGUUAAAAAUUUUCUCCUAAAAUCUAUUAAUAUGUUGUAUUAGUCUGUUUUCACACUGCUAUAAAAAAUACCCAAGACUGGGUAAUUUAUAAAGGAAAGAGGCUUAAUUGAGUCACAGUUCCACAUGGCUGGGGAGGCCUCAGGAAACUUGCAAUCAUGGCAGAAGGGGAAGCAAGACAAGUCUUACACGGCAGCAGGAGAGACUAGGGCAAGGGGGAACUUCCAAACACUUUCAAAACAUCAGCUCUCAUGAGAACUUCCUCACUAUCAAGAGAACAGCAUGGGGGAAACUGUUGCCAUGAUUCAAUCACCUCCCACCAGGUCCCUCCCUCAAUACCUGGGGAUUACAAAUGGAGAUGAGAUUUGGGUGGGGACACAAAGUGAAACCAUAUCAUAUGCUGACUUGUAAUGAAUACCUUUCCUAAUACUAAUCUAUCCUGGCAUUUCUGAAAUGGAAACUUUGUGGUCCUGCUACUAGUCUUUUAAUGAGCUGUUUGAAUCUAAUUGCUGUUGUUAUAUUUACAACUGUAAUAUGUAUAUUUGCAAGUGAGAUUAACAUGUAGGUUUUUUUGUACAAUUUUUGUUACAUGUUGGUGUCAACGUUAUCCACCUUAUAUAAAAAAUUUUGCAACUUUUUAUAUGUCCUGGAAAAGUUCAAAUAGCAUUGUAAUAACCUAUCCUAUGGAAGCUUAGUAAUAAUUCUUAUGUGAAACUAUCUGGGCUGAUAUAUAUGUUCUAUGAGUUGAUGGAGGCUUAUUCUUUAAAUACUUUAUUUCUCUAAUGAAAACUUGUCCAUAUAGUUUUGUUUCAUGUAAUCAUUGUGUUUCUUCUGGAAUUAAUUUUAGUAAAUUAUAUCUUCCAAGAAAAUUAUUUAUUACAUCCAAGUUUUAGAAUUUCAUUCACAUUUGCAUAUUGAAAACCUACUUGUAUAGAAUUGUACAAAUAGCCUUAUUUUUUAAAAUUAUUAAGUUGUUGAGGUUAUUUUCUUUUGCCUUUUCUUAUUGUUUGUGCUUCCUCCCUUUUGCUUGAUUAAAUUUACUGCUUGUCAAUCUAUUUCAUUCAUUUUUUAAGAGAAAUAGAUCCUAAUUUGUUAAUUCUACAAUUCUUCUAAUGCAUUGAUUUUUGCUUCCAUCACUAUAAAAUUCUUCCUUCUUCUUUUAGUUUAUUUUGUGUUUUCUCC
rnacentral:lncRNA from 1 species